GGAAUAUUGGUCAAUGGACGAGAGUCUGAACCAGCCAAGUAGCGUGCAGGAUGACGGCCCUAUGGGUUGUAAACUGCUUUUAUGCGGGGAUAAAGUGAGGGACGUGUCCCUUUUUGUAGGUACCGCAUGAAUAAGGACCGGCUAAUUCCGUGCCAGCAGCCGCGGUAAUACGGAAGGUCCGGGCGUUAUCCGGAUUUAUUGGGUUUAAAGGGAGCGCAGGCGGAAGCUUAAGCGUGACGUGAAAUGCAGGUGCUCAACAUCUGCACUGCGUCGCGAACUGGGUUUCUUGAGUGAGUACGACGUGGACGGAAUUCGUGGUGUAGCGGUGAAAUGCUUAGAUAUCACGAAGAACUCCGAUUGCGAAGGCAGCCAACAAGGCCUUUACUGACGCUAAAGCUCGAAGGUGCGGGUAUCGAACA
rnacentral:rRNA from 1 species